rnacentral:lncRNA from 1 species
UAUACCGCUCAUACCAAAAGCAGCGAUUCUUUCAAGGUUCUCACUUUCUGUUCCUUCAUCUUUUACAGUUUCCAAGUCGAGCACGUGAUCUGCUGUAUCUGAACAAAAUUUUCCAUACGCCUAGCCUCUUGAAAAUGAUCAAUUGUUGAGACAUUUUUAAUAGGGAAAGAUAGAACCAAGAACUACUUCGUUUGUGUUACAGCAAAAACACGCAUCUAUUGUCGUUGAAAUAGAUCAUUGACGCG